AAAUAUUUUUCUUAUAUAUUUUGUUAUUGUUUUAACUAUAAAGAAUAAGUAUAUAUUAAUUUCGUAAAGUGGAAAUUGACAAUCUCCCAAAUGAAAAAAAUUAGAAAUAAAAAAUGUUGCCAAUUUGCAUUCACUUUUUUGAAUGAACCAUAGUUAGUUUGAACUUUGGGCUGCAAUAAAUAAAUAUUCAAUUAAAUCUUCUUGGGCUCGAAGGUCCAUAGAUUUUUUGGACCAACGAAUCAACCACAAUAUUUGCUCCUCACGAGCGAUCCAUUAGCCCAACUUAAUGGGACUUUUUUUUACCUCCGCACAAUUUUAGUUCAAGGGGACAUUUUUUUAUUUUGUUUUUUGUUUUUUAUAAUAUCCGAUAUUUUCUUGACAAAAACAAUUUUACGAUAUAAUUGGUUUUUGGUUAAAAAAAUAAAAUAAUAAUAAGUUAUUUUGUAUUUUUUAAGGUAGAGAAGUGGAUAAAUCCCUUAUUAUUAUUUUUAUUCUCAUUUUUAAAAUUCAAACUCAAGUGACUGAGUAAAUAAAAUUGCUUGAAAUUACUCAACCAUGCCCUUAAGAAAACUUAGUUAUUUUAUAAUGGGAAUGAGAAUGUGAUGAAAUAUGAAAUGAAAAAGUAACAAAAUUAUUGAAAAUUACAUGAUCUCAUGUUUUUCUCUAGUCCAAAUAUACUUUUAAUUGAGUUCUUCAAGAUUUUAGCUAGGACACAACAUUAAAUCCAUUAAAAUUUAAAAGAAUUUUAGGUAGAAGGGCAAGUAUAAAUGAUUAAUUUUUUAAAGCUAAAUUAUGGUAGAAAUUGAAAUCCAAUGUAAUGUUAUGUGAGCAAAAUUGACAAGAAGUAAAUAUUUUUAAUCUAUACCAUAAUUAAUUGAUAUGAGUCAAAGUGAGAAGUAAUCUAUAUUGAGGCACAACAUAUUUCAUUACGGUGAAGUGAACAAAAUUACAAGUCUCACACUCGCAAUUCCUAACACAUGCUAACUUACGAUCACGAUAAUUUCGUAAUUUCUUAAAAGCCUUUAUAUUUGAAGGUUUCUCUGCUAUGAAGUUUAAGACCAUAAACUCAUCAUCCACAAAAAAAUCUUAUCAAAGCAAGCUCUUCACCAAUGUAAUCACGAUCUUCACAACUUUCAUACAUAUUAUGAUAUAUGUCAAUGUUAGCGUGAUAAAUUACAAUAAUUGUGAUAAAUAAUAAUGCUAAAAAUACGGGUUUGAGUUAAGCUACCUAGUGGUCUUCAAAUGAUAUAAUAUUCAGUAUAAUCAUAGGUUUACUUAAAGAUAAAAAUAACAAAAAAAAAUUAAAUGAAUCACAACAAGAAUGUCUCUUUCACAUGUGAUUGAUAUUUUUGCACAAAAGCUCAAAUUAAUUAUUUCCCAAUUAGCUUAAAUAUAUAACCCCAUUAGCCCUCUUCUAUAUUUAUGGUUAGUUAGGUUUCUAGCUUAGAGGACUGCGUUACAGCAAUAACAGUGUAGAUGAUUGAUAUAUCAGAGAGCUGCAGAUAGCUAGCUGCAAAUGCAUUGACCGUAGAAGUCGAUAUAUCAGAGCAUAUGGGACUAUGAUCAAUGUACUGCGGCCUUCAUUUUGAUGAACAAAUUGAUAAUUGUCAUCACCUUGAACUUCGUACUAACAAUUGUUCGGAAAUUAACAAACAAAGAACCUAAAUAUUAUUAUACCAUUACAGCAUAAUUAAAAUCAAAGUACAAGAUAUCUCAAGUACUAUUAGCAUUUUCAGUUAAAAAGAAAAAGAAAAAGAAAUCUCUCAAUCGGAGAGUAAGCAGACUGACGACAUAUUCUAGCAGCGAAAAUUUUAAUAUAUUGAACUGAUGAGUUAUACGUUAUCCCAAAAUUAUCAAGCAACUAGCAAUUUUGGGCCUCUGCGUCCUUGUAGCCCAACAAAGGAAAUAAGUUCAAAUAAAAGUUCUUCCGACAGCCGAACAUCGAGGAAAGAUAAGAGACGAAAACUCAUUUUCCUUUCAUAAUAGUUUCCAACAAAAGAAACAGAAAAUUAUUAAUUCUAACACUGAUUCAACGAAAAUUAUUGAUUAAAAAAAUGUUGGGGAAAAAUUAGGUUUUUAAAUUUUUAUUAAACCUUUUGAAGAUCGCUCUCAUAUAAUAUAUAAGAAUACGUAAUCCAGAAAUCGUACCUUGAAAAUCCGAUUUGGCUUUUUCCGUUGAAAUGAUUUAGGCUCCUAGAUCACGAUCCGCCAUCACUACUCCUGUUAGAUCACGAUCCGUCAGCACCACGCUUGCUAGAUCACGAACUGUCACCAAUGAUCUUCCAGGUUAUGACUCAGGUUCGAUCUGCACUUGACGUGUGGGCGCCUUUAUCACUACCAAAGCAACUAGCACGAGAAAAUUUUUCUCUCAACAAUGGAGAGAAAAAUCUUAUUCUCUGAUCUGUAUAAAGUGGCUUCUAUCUUUUCUUUAAGGAAAAAUAAGCCUUAUAUAUUUCCCUUUAGUGAAAACCCUAGGCUCCAAAUAAUGCCCUAAAUAAAACUCACGUUUAUUUACUUUUUCAAUAGGGGACCUACCUUGUAAAAUAACAUAAGGCCCCUUAUACAAAAGCUAAUUAAAUGGAGCCUCCCACUAAAUGAUAUAUUUAGGUUUUUGACCCAAAUCGCUAGUUAUCUUACUUAUUAGUCCAGUAGUGGUGCAGUCAAUUAAAUGAGCUAACCCGGGGAUCAUUUGGGAACAUACAAUAGUGGCUACAAUAAUUAGGCUUGUAAUUAAACUAUCCCAAUUAUUUAAUUCCAAAUCUACUCCACUAAAAGAUUGGAACUGACUUUCAUAAUUGUAUGCUCGAAUAAUAAUUCGUCCCAAGCCACAUUGAUUUCUUUACUGCACAAUCCUUUGUACCACAUCGUUAAUUAAAUUGAUAUCUCAACUGUCCAAUCAAUUUAAUAACAUCUUAUUCCUUGAUCUUUACUAGUUUUCUCUAAUGAUCAUUUUCAACAUACUAAAUAUGUUGACACACUCUGGCCAGGGAAUUCUAUGAUCAAGUGCUGAAAACCCAUUAAGAGAUGUGUUGUACAAAUUCUAUAUUGUUAAUCCAUAACUUCAAUACUCAUAAUUGCUCCCACCAAGAUACCGGAUAAUCUUGACCACAAGGAUGUGUCGUGCCCAUUGGUAACUCAAAUGGAAUAACAAUUACAAUCAUGAAAUCAUAAUUAACUCAAGAUUAAGAUUACAGUAAAAUCAACGCCUAUGAGAUUUAAUAAGUCUGACAGUUAUUACAAAGUUAAUUAAAUCUCAUAUGUGAUCCUGUUCAAUGUAGUCGUACUACAUCAAUAAAUUCAUACAUGAUUAAGACAAAUCAUUCAAUGAAUUUAUUACAGUCUAUACCUAAAUAAAGUGCCCAACUUUAUUUAUCAACUGCGAACUAAAUUUAUUUAAUCAUAAGAUAACUUGUAUUUAUGUCUUCUGUGAAUCCACAUGGUGAUCACAUAAAUACAUAUAAUAUGAUUAAAUGGACUUUAAUACAAGUAUUAAUGCAAUUAAGAUAUUUGAAUAAAAUAUCUCAUUUAUUUUAUUAAUCAGAAAAAUAGUUUAUUACAAUUAAAUAAACACAUAUGCUUUUAAAGAGCAUAUUUUCCCAACAAUCUCCCACUAGCUCUCAAAGCAUAUCUGGCAUAUUGCACAUGCUCUAGGGCUCUAAGUGCAGGUUAUAAAGGUUUCCCACUAAUGGCCAUUCUAAUAAGAUCUGCCAUUUAGCAUCUAAUGCCAUUUGGGGUACUGUCAUAUAACCUUUCUACACUAUUCCCUUAUAAGAUGAUACUUCCUUUCAAUAUGUUUUGUUUCUUGUGGUUCCUUGGUUCCUUAGAUUGAGCUACAACACCACCAUUAUCACAUAAAUAGUUUAAGGGGUGCAGUUACAACAGGUACCACCUCAAGAUUUCGUAGGAACUUGCAGAGCCAUAUAGCUUCUUUUGCAGCUUCAAAUGUAGCCACAUAUUCAGCUUUAGUUGUUGAGUCUGUGAUACAAGAUUGUUUCACACUCAUCCAACUAAUAGCUCCACUUCCCAAUGUAAACACAUAGCCGGAAGUUGAUUUUCUGGAAUCCUUAUCUGACAUAAAGUCAGAAUCAGUAUAACCCACUGGAAUGAGUUCAUCACCAGAAUACAUAAGCAUAUAAUUUUUAGUUCUUUUCAGAUACUUUAUAAUAUGCUUGACUGCAGUCCAGUAUUGAGGUCCAGGAUUAAAUUGAUAUCUGCUAACCAUCCCUACCGCAAAACAGAUGUCUGGCCUAGUGCAAAGCAUGGCAUACACGAGACUUCCCACAGCGUCUGCAUAGGGAACUCGUCUCAUUCUCCCUAUCUCUUCAGAUGUUUUAGGUGAUUGAUCCUUAGAGAAUGUAAUUCCAUGUCUGAAUGGUAAUAAACCAGUCUUGGAAUUUUCCAUGCUAAAUCUAGCCAAUAUCUUAUCGAUAUAGACCGCUUGAGACAAGGCUAAAGUUUUAUUCUUCCGGUCUUGUAGUAACUUGAUACCAAGAAUAUAACUUGCCUCCCCCAGGUCUUUCAUAUCAAAUUAUUUUGCUAACCAAAUCUUUAUUGUAGUCAAUACUCCUAUAUCGUUUCCAAUCAGGAGAAUAUUGUCUACACAAAGAACUAGGAAGGCUACAAAUUUUCCCUGAAUUUUCUUAUACACACAUGGUUCAUCAAUGUUCUGAAUGAAUCCAAGUGAUUUAAUCGCUUGAUCAAAUCUGAUGUUCCAUGACCGGGAUGCUUGCUUCAAUCCAUAAAUGGAUCUCUGCAACUUACAUACCAUGUGUUCUUGGCCUUUUUGUAUAAAUCCAUCUGGUUGCUGCAUGUAGAUGUUUUCUUCAAGAUGCCCGUUAAGAAAGGCAGUCUUGACAUCCAUUUGCCAAAUUUCAUAAUCUAGCACUGCAGCAAUGGAGAGUAGAAUCCUGAUGGAUUUAAGCAUAGCAACCGUAGAAAAGGUUUCCUCAUAAUCGAUUCCUUCUUUCUGAGUAAACCUUCGGCUACUAAUCUUGCUUUAAAUGUUUCCACCCUUCCGUCUACUCUUUUUUUUUUUUUCUUAUAGAUCCACUUGCAGCCUAUAGGUUUUACCCCAUUUGGUGCCUCUACAAGUUCCCAGACUUUAUUGGAAUACACAGAUUCCAUUUCUUGAUUCAUGACCUUUUUCUAAAAUUUAACAUCUCUAUCUAUUAGAGCUUCGUUGUAACUAGUGGGAUUUUGUACAUGUUCAUCUGAGAUAGCUAUAUAGGUUUCUCCCAAAAAUAUGUAUCUCGCAGGUAACCUAGUUACUCUCCCACUACGACAAGGUUCUAAAAGUGAUGGUUGUUCAAGGAUAAUCCUGUGCUGAUCAGCUGGUUGUUGCUGUUCUUUUUGUUCUAUAACAGGUGUUGAAAGCUGAGCAUCAACCUGAUCUCUUUUAUUUCUCUAGUUUUACCUUACUCUUAGGUUAUAAGUCAUUAUAGAGUCUUCCUCAAAGAAAGUAAAGAAUAUUUCUAUAAAUACAUUCCUAUCUUGAGGACUAUAAUUCAGACUUUCCCUUAUUCCUUUAAGAUACCUAAAACAUGCAAGCUUCUGAACACGAAUCCAUCUUGUCUAUCUCUGAUUCUAGUAGAAAUACUAGUAAACUCCAAAUACGAAUGUGUCUCAAACCAUGUUUGUGACUUUUUCAUAAUUUCUUGGAGUAGUAGACACCGAGAUAGAUGAAACUAAGUUCAAUAAACUUUGUAGUUUUAAAUACUAGUAUCUGGAAUCAAAAAAGGUAAAUGAUAAACCACUUAGUAUAUAUCUUGUCUUAUCCAAAAGAAUCUUGUUUCUCCAUUUAAUUACACUAUUGUAUUAUAGUGUUCAUUGACAACCAAAUAGUGCUUGAAUUCUCCAUAGAGAUAUUCUUUGUUUCGAUCAUAUCGAAGUUCUUUUAUGUUCCUGUCUAAUUGCUUUUGUCUUAUCCACGUACUCUUUUGAAUUUCAAAAGCAAUGGAAUCAUGACGCAUUUAGACAAACAUAAAUAAAAUGAAUAUUCAUCAACAAGAUUGAUAGAAUACUCAUAACCCCUUAUAACAUGUAAACUGAUUAGUCCGUAUACAUUUGUAUGCGCUAAAUCAUCAAAUACAUAGUUAUGCUUUUAGCUCAAAAAGAGCAUCCUCGUCAUAUUACUUUUCUAAAUAAGAUUUAUAGAGUUACAAUGAUCAAUCUUAAUAGGCCAACAAGUCUAUCAUUAAUCAUUUUCUUAAAAUCUUAUUAUAGUUUAUAUGACUUAGGCAUAAAUAUCAGAGGUGAUUUUUGGUUAGAAGAAACAUUUCUUUUCUUAGAUAAAUGCAUAUACUUUUUAUCAUUAUAUCUUACUUUGAAUAGAUCAAUGGACUUCUAUGAUAUAAAUUGUCUUUAUAAAUAACCAAAAUAAAUAAUAAAUAGAGGAUCCAAAAAAUAACAGUGUACUCCUGUUUAUUAAAACAAGCCACCGAAAUUAAAUUCCUCUAAUAUAAAGACAAAUAUCAAAACUAAAGUCUUGUAAAAUUGAUCUAGUCUUUCAAUUGAUAUAAACUAGCAUGUCAUCAACUGCUGUUUGAUGUUUUCUUCACUUAAUCUCUUGGUUUCCUGAAAACCAAAUAAAUGAAUUACAAAUAAGAUUAGUUAUCUCAGAAUUCAUUAUUGUAUGAUGCAAUAGAAAUCUAAACUAAUUAGGAAGCUUAAAGAUUUCCUAUACCUGAUUUUAAUAAUCUUAGGACAAUCUUUCUUCCAGUGACCUUUCUGUUCACAUUUGUAACACUUGCCUUUUGGCUUGCCACUUCUUUUAGUGGACAGUUUGCCGAUCCCAACUCUUGCUUGCUCAUUCUUGUCUUUCGACUUAAGCCUUGAAGAGAAUCCUUUUUCAGGAAGUUUUCUGCUAUGAUAAAAUUCUUCUAUAGCAUGUAGUUCGUGCAUUAAUUCAAUUAAGGUCAUAUCUUUAUUGUUUAAGAUAUAACUGACCUUAAACUCUUUGAAUGUAUCAGGUAAAGAUUCAAUCACCAUGUUAAUCUUUGAUUUAUCAUUGAUUUGAACACCAUGAAUCUUUACCUCAUUCAAAUAGUCCAUCAUUUUGAGGACAUGAUCACGAACUUUUGUGCCCUCUUCCAUCUUAGUAUCUGUGAUACGUUUUAAUGCUGCUUCUCUGGCAAAAUGGGUAUUUUGCCCAAACAUCUGAUGAAGACUAGCCAUUAUUUCAGUGGCUGUUUCCAUGCUCCGAUGUUUCUUAUGCAGUUCCACAGAAAUCGAAGCCAAUAUAUAGCGCUUAGCCAUUUUGUUAGCUUCGCACCAUUUCUCAUAAGACUCCCUCUAAUUUCUAUAAUCGUAUAACGAUGGUUCAGGAGGGCAAGGCUGGGUCAACACAUAUUUGCUUCCCUUAGCAGUGAGAAUAUUAAAUAGAUUGCGUUUCCAAUCUAAAUAAUUUUCGCCAGUGAGUUCAUUUUUAACAAGGAUAAUUAAUAAUGGGUUGAUGGAAGACAUUUUCUGAAAAACAAAACAAAAUAAACAUGCAUAAAUACUUUGAAACAAUAUUCACAAUAAAUGACAAAAAUGCAAAAAACCAUAAAUGCAUUUUAAUUUAUUGUAACGAUAAUCUAGUACCACUUUGACAAGCUAUCCGUUGGGGAAGUCAUGUCAACACUUACUAGACCCAAUUAUCCAUUAGAUUAUUUACUUUCAUGUAAAGACAUGAUAAAUAAUUAUCGUUAUCCCUUUGGGCCUAAAUUUGUUAACAGAGCUUCGUUGGGAAGGUUAAUAACAAACUUUAGUUGAGUGUAUAACCAUUGUUUCAAUCUACGUAUUUUUCAUAUCAAUAGUCACCGUUGGGGUGAACAAUCGAUUAAAAAAUAUUUCAAUUUUAUCUUUGAAGAAGUUCAUCAAAUAAAAUAUCUAAUAUAUAUACCCUCCGAAGGGAGCAUCACCGUAUCAUGAAGUCGAGGUAUAUAUAUAAUUUUAUUAUUGAACUAACAAUGGAGCCCGUGGGAAAAUUAUCUUGAAUUUUCCCUCUCCCACUCAAUAUUUUAAAAUUGGUUUUUCCUUUUUAAAACAUACAUAUUGUUAAUUGCAUGCUUUCUAUAAUAUUAUCUAGAUGACAUCAAAUAUUAUUAAGCAUGUGCAAAUUUCAAACAAUAUAAUGAGAUUCAUUAUUAAUGAAUGACAUGUAUAAUUAUGCAUAGAGUGGCACUACCUAUUCUAUAUGACAUGUUAUCAUGGCAUGUUAUCAUCCAAAACAUAACAUAUAGAAAAACAAUUAAAUAAUCUUAAUUGAUGGCUUUCCUAAUAAUGAAAAAAUACAUUAACCUAAGCCUAAUCUUCAUUGGGCUUCUUGUCAAUGUCCAUCUUCCAUAAGUUUGUCUUUGUUAAUGGACUAGGGGAAAUUGAGCUUUUAAAUUUAUAAUUGGUCCAAUUUUAAUUUUGAAAGGAAAUAAAUAAAAUAAAUAGUUUUAAUUUUAUUUUUAUUAAAAUAAAACUUUUGGACCAAAAAUAAAUUUAAUGUAUUUAAUUUUAUCUAUGCAUUUUUAAUCCAUUAAGCCUAAUUGAAAUUGGGCCUAAAACUAGGAUUCUUUAAGUCCAAAACGGUUUUUGGACUUAAAUGCAAAAAAUUAAAAACGUUUCUGUCCAACUAAAAAAUAUGAAACUAUAGGGAUCUCCACGAUAAAAACCAUGGAACCCUAAAAUCACAUUUUUCUUUUCCUCUUCUUCCCCAGCCGCCACCAGCACAAAAACCCAGCCGUUGUUUACUGUUUCCACACCGGACAGCCGUCAUCGACGCCGGAAAGACGCCAACCAGAACGCUCCGCGCCUCCAGCCCACGUUCACGCUGCUGCUUGGGCGCUGCAGCUGCUGCUCGCGCGCUGCAGUUGCUGCGUGUGCAGCGCGCGCUGCAGCUGCUGCGUGUGCAGCUCGCGCUGCUAGCAGCGUGGCUGCUGGCCGCUGCGCGCGCUGCUGGCAGCAUGUGCUGCUGGCCGCUGCGCGCGCUGCUGGCAGCAUGUGCUGCUGGCCGCUCGCUGCUGCGUGUGCUGGUUCGUUGCUGCAGUUUCCAGCACGUUUCCGCAAUUUUCCAGUGAUGAUGCUUCGGUGAUUUACAAAUUUUCAACGCAAAUUUUGGCUUUACAAAAUUUCAAUUACAGUAAAAUAAAUCAAGAGGGAAACAUGGUGAUAAAAAACCACCACUCUUGUUACAGAUCCAAAGAAAAAUACAACGGAAAAUCUAACCAUGAAUUAAGACAAACCAAAACAUGCUUUAUUCAUAUAUUAAACAAAUAAUAUAUAUCUGAAUAAAUUGUGCCACUCUAAUACAUAAAUUUCAAGAUUAAUUUCAUACAGAAUUCUUAUAUAUUAAUAUGAGAUGGCUCUGAUACCAAUUGUUUGGGAAAAAUUAGGUUUUUAAAUUUUUAUUAAACCUUUUGAAGAUCGCUCUCAUAUAAUAUAUAAGAAUAUGUAAUCCAGAAAUCGUACCUUGAAAAUCCGAUUUGGCUUUUUCCGUUGAAAUGAUUUAGGCUCCUAGAUCACGAUCCGCCACUACCACUCCUGUUAGAUCACGAUCCGUCAGCACCACGCUUGCUAGAUCACGAACUGUCACCAAUAAUCUUCCAGGUUAUGACUCAGGUUCGAUCUGCACUUGACGUGUGGGCGCCUUUAUCACUACCAAAGCAACUAGCACGAGAAAAUUUUUCUCUCAACAAUGGAGAGAAAAAUCUUAUUCUCUGAUCUGUAUAAAGUGGCUUCUAUCUUUUCUUUAGGGAAAAAUAAGCCUUAUAUAUUUCCCUUUAGUGAAAACCCUAGGCUCCAAAUAAUGCCCUAAAUAAAACUCACGUUUAUUUACUUUUUCAAUAGGGGACCUACCUUGUAAAAUAACAUAAGGCCCCUUAUACAAAAGCUAAUUAAAUGGAGCCUCCCACUAAAUGAUAUAUUUAGGUUUUUGACCCAAAUCGCUAGUUAUCUUACUUAUUAGUCCAGUAGUGGUGCAGUCAAUUAAAUGAGUUAACCCGGGGAUCAUUUGGGAACAUACAAUAGUGGCUACAAUAAUUAGGCUUGUAAUUAAACUAGCCCAAUUAUUUAAUUCCAAAUCUACUCCACUAAAAGAUUGGAACUGACUUUCAUAAUUGUAUGCUCGAAUAAUAAUUCGUCCCAAGCCACAUUGAUUUCUUUACUGCACAAUCCUUUGUACCACAUCGUUAAUUAAAUUGAUAUCUCAACUGUCCAAUCAAUUUAAUAACAUCUUAUUCCUUGAUCUUUACUAGUUUUCUCUAAUGAUCAUUUUCAACAUACUAAAUAUGUUGACACACUCUGGCCAGAGAAUUCUAUGAUCAAGUGCCGAAAACCCAUCAAGAGAUGUGUUGUACAAAUUCUAUAUUGUUAAUCCAUAACUUCAAUACUCAUAAUUGCUCCCACCAAGAUACCGGAUAAUCUUGACCACAAGGAUGUGUCGUGCCCAUUGGUAACUCAAAUGGAAUAACAAUUACAAUCAUGAAAUCAUAAUUAACUCAAGAUUAAGAUUACAGUAAAAUCAACGCCUAUGAGAUUUAAUAAGUCUGACAGUUAUUACAAAGUUAAUUAAAUCUCAUAUGUGAUCCUGUUCAAUGUAGUCGUACUACAUCAAUAAAUUCAUACAUGAUU
rnacentral:lncRNA from 1 species